rnacentral:rRNA from 1 species
GGGUUGUGAGGUUAAGCGACUAAGCGUACACGGUGGAUGCCCUGGCAGUCAGAGGCGAUGAAGGACGUGCUAAUCUGCGAAAAGCGUCGGUAAGGUGAUAUGAACCGUUAUAACCGGCGAUGUCCGAAUGGGGAAACCCAGUGUGAUUCGUCACACUAUCGUUAACUGAAUACAUAGGUUAACGAGGCGAACCGGGGGAACUGAAACAUCUAAGUACCCCGAGGAAAAGAAAUCAACCGAGAUUCCCCCAGUAGCGGCGAGCGAACGGGGAGCAGCCCAGAGUCUGAAUCAGCUUGUGUGUUAGUGGAACGGUCUGGAAAGUCCGACGGUACAGGGUGAUAGUCCCGUACACCAAAAUGCACAGGCUGUGAACUCGAAGAGUAGGGCGGGACACGUGGUAUCCUGUCUGAAUAUGGGGGGACCAUCCUCCAAGGCUAAAUACUCCUGACUGACCGAUAGUGAACCAGUACCGUGAGGGAAAGGCGAAAAGAACCCCGGCGAGGGGAGUGAAAAAGAACCUGAAACCGUGUACGUACAAGCAGUGGGAGCACCUUCGGGUGUGACUGCGUACCUUUUGUAUAAUGGGUCAGCGACUUAUAUUCUGUAGCAAGGUUAACCGUAUAGGGGAGCCGCAGGGAAACCGAGUCUUAACUGGGCGUUAAGUUGCAGGGUAUAGACCCGAAACCCGGUGAUCUAGCCAUGGGCAGGUUGAAGGUUGGGUAACACUAACUGGAGGACCGAACCGACUAAUGUUGAAAAAUUAGCGGAUGACUUGUGGCUGGGGGUGAAAGGCCAAUCAAACCGGGAGAUAGCUGGUUCUCCCCGAAAGCUAUUUAGGUAGCGCCUCGUGAACUCAUCUUCGGGGGUAGAGCACUGUUUCGGCUAGGGGGUCAUCCCGACUUACCAACCCGAUGCAAACUACGAAUACCGAAGAAUGUUAUCACGGGAGACACACGGCGGGUGCUAACGUCCGUCGUGAAGAGGGAAACAACCCAGACCGCCAGCUAAGGUCCCAAAGUCAUGGUUAAGUGGGAAACGAUGUGGGAAGGCACAGACAGCCAGGAUGUUGGCUUAGAAGCAGCCAUCAUUUAAAGAAAGCGUAAUAGCUCACUGGUCGAGUCGGCCUGCGCGGAAGAUGUAACGGGGCUAAACCAUGCACCGAAGCUGCGGCAGCGACACUAUGUGUUGUUGGGUAGGGGAGCGUUCUGUAAGCCUGCGAAGGUGACCUGUGAGGGUUGCUGGAGGUAUCAGAAGUGCGAAUGCUGACAUAAGUAACGAUAAAGCGGGUGAAAAGCCCGCUCGCCGGAAGACCAAGGGUUCCUGUCCAACGUUAAUCGGGGCAGGGUGAGUCGACCCCUAAGGCGAGGCCGAAAGGCGUAGUCGAUGGGAAACAGGUUAAUAUUCCUGUACUUGGUGUUACUGCGAAGGGGGGACGGAGAAGGCUAUGUUAGCCGGGCGACGGUUGUCCCGGUUUAAGCAUGUAGGCUGGUUGUCCAGGCAAAUCCGGAUAAUCAAGGCUGAGGUGUGAUGACGAGGCACUACGGUGCUGAAGUAACAAAUGCCCUGCUUCCAGGAAAAGCCUCUAAGCAUCAGGUAACAUUAAAUCGUACCCCAAACCGACACAGGUGGUCAGGUAGAGAAUACCAAGGCGCUUGAGAGAACUCGGGUGAAGGAACUAGGCAAAAUGGUGCCGUAACUUCGGGAGAAGGCACGCUGGUGUGUAGGUGAAGUCCCUGCGGAUGGAGCUGAGACCAGUCGAAGAUACCAGCUGGCUGCAACUGUUUAUUAAAAACACAGCACUGUGCAAACACGAAAGUGGACGUAUACGGUGUGACGCCUGCCCGGUGCCGGAAGGUUAAUUGAUGGGGUUAUCCGUAAGGAGAAGCUCUUGAUCGAAGCCCCGGUAAACGGCGGCCGUAACUAUAACGGUCCUAAGGUAGCGAAAUUCCUUGUCGGGUAAGUUCCGACCUGCACGAAUGGCGUAAUGAUGGCCAGGCUGUCUCCACCCGAGACUCAGUGAAAUUGAACUCGCUGUGAAGAUGCAGUGUACCCGCGGCAAGACGGAAAGACCCCGUGAACCUUUACUAUAGCUUGACACUGAACAUUGAGCCUUGAUGUGUAGGAUAGGUGGGAGGCUUUGAAGCGUGGACGCCAGUCUGCGUGGAGCCAACCUUGAAAUACCACCCUUUAAUGUUUGAUGUUCUAACGUUGGCCCCUUACCGGGGUUGCGGACAGUGUCUGGUGGGUAGUUUGACUGGGGCGGUCUCCUCCCAAAGCGUAACGGAGGAGCACGAAGGUUAGCUAAUCCUGGUCGGACAUCAGGAGGUUAGUGCAAUGGCAUAAGCUAGCUUGACUGCGAGCGUGACGGCGCGAGCAGGUGCGAAAGCAGGUCAUAGUGAUCCGGUGGUUCUGAAUGGAAGGGCCAUCGCUCAACGGAUAAAAGGUACUCCGGGGAUAACAGGCUGAUACCGCCCAAGAGUUCAUAUCGACGGCGGUGUUUGGCACCUCGAUGUCGGCUCAUCACAUCCUGGGGCUGAAGUAGGUCCCAAGGGUAUGGCUGUUCGCCAUUUAAAGUGGUACGCGAGCUGGGUUUAGAACGUCGUGAGACAGUUCGGUCCCUAUCUGCCGUGGGCGCUGGAGAAUUGAGGGGGGCUGCUCCUAGUACGAGAGGACCGGAGUGGACGCAUCACUGGUGUUCGGGUUGUCAUGCCAAUGGCACUGCCCGGUAGCUAAAUGCGGAAGAGAUAAGUGCUGAAAGCAUCUAAGCACGAAACUUGCCCCGAGAUGAGUUCUCCCUGAGACUUUAAGUCUCCUGAAGGAACGUU